rnacentral:rRNA from 1 species
UACGGAGGGUGCAAGCGUUAAUCGGAAUUACUGGGCGUAAAGCGUGCGUAGGCGGUUCGUUAAGUCUGUGGUGAAAGCCCCGGGCUUAACCUGGGAAUGGCCGUUGAAACUGGCGAACUGGAGUGUGGCAGAGGGGGGUGGAAUUCCGCGUGUAGCAGUGAAAUGCGUAGAGAUGCGGAGGAACACCGAUGGCGAAGGCAGCCCCCUGGGCUAACACUGACGCUCAGGCACGAAAGCGUGGGGAGCAAACAGG